GACGAACGCUGGCGGCAGGCCUAACACAUGCAAGUCGAACGAACCCUUCGGGGUUAGUGGCGGACGGGUGAGUAACACGUGGGAACGUGCCUUUAGGUUCGGAAUAACUCAGGGAAACUUGUGCUAAUACCGAAUGUGCCCUUCGGGGGAAAGAUUUAUCGCCAUUGGAGCGGCCCGCGUCUGAUUAGCUAGUUGGUGAGGUAAAGGCUCACCAAGGCGACGAUCAGUAGCUGGUCUGAGAGGAUGAUCAGCCACAUUGGGACUGAGACACGGCCCAAACUCCUACGGGAGGCAGCAGUGGGGAAUCUUGCGCAAUGGGCGAAAGCCUGACGCAGCCAUGCCGCGUGAAUGAUGAAGGUCUUAGGAUUGUAAAAUUCUUUCACCGGGGACGAUAAUGACGGUACCCGGAGAAGAAGCCCCGGCUAACUUCGUGCCAGCCGCCGCAGUAAAAC
rnacentral:rRNA from 1 species